AGCAGAUUCUUCAAGCUUCCAGCAACUUCGUCUUCUUCCUCACCCAUCCAAUGCCAUUUUUCAUUCCACCUCCAUGAAAAUCAAAUUUUUCAUGUGAUUUUUCCUUGUUUUCUUUUUAUUUCUUUUCUUUUACUAAUCCUUCCUUCUCUUAACUUCUUGGGCACUGAAUUUGCAGCUUCUAACCCUAAUUUUCAGCACAUCUAAACCCCAAGAGAGAGAAAAAAAAUCUCUCAUUGUUUCUUAUAUUUUCUAUUUCUACUUCACUUUCAACAACAGUUGGAUUUUUGGUUUCAAAUCUUCAUUUUCAAGGUUGAAAGGUCUUUGGUUGAUCUUCAUGCCUCCAAGCUCAUCCAGGUUUUAAUGGUAUUUCGUGACUCCUUGGAUUAGGACCUUGUUGGUGCUAGUUUUGUCAGGUGAGUGAACUGCAUUUCAAAAUCAUUUUGGG